rnacentral:tRNA from 1 species
GGGGAGGUGGCUAAGAGGUUAAGAGCACUGGCUGCUCUUCCAGAGGACCCGGGUUCAAUUCCCAGCACCCACA